rnacentral:rRNA from 1 species
GAGAGAGACAUGCGCGCAUAUCAAUAAGCGGAGGAAAAGAAACUAACAAGGAUUCCCCUAGUAACGGCGAGUGAAGCGGGAAGAGCUCAAAUUUGAAAUCUUAAAGGGUUUCCCUUUACGAAUUGUAGUUUAAAGAAGUGUUUUCUGUUGAGGUUUUGGUAAAAGUUCUUUGGAAUAGGACAUCAUAGAGGGUGAGAAUCCCGUAUUUGACCUUUACUUUCAACUUUGUGAUACACUUUCAAAGAGUCGGAUUGUUUGGGAAUGCAGUCCAAAAUGGGUGGUAAAUUUCAUCUAAAGCUAAAUAUUGGCGAGAGACCGAUAGCGAACAAGUACCGUGAGGGAAAGAUGAAAAGAACUUUGAAAAGAGAGUUAAACAGUACGUGAAAUUGUCAAAAGGGAAGCGUUUGACACCAGUGUUGUUUUUCUGAAAACCAAUUAAAGAACUGUUUAUGCUAAGCUGUUUAGACUUUAUCAGCUAACUGUUUAGUUUUGAGCUUUUCUUUAAUGCACUUUUCAGUUAACAAGUCAACAUCAAUUUCUUUUGCUGUAAAAAAGCUUGAGGAAGGUGGCUUGAGAUUCGUCUUAAGUGUUUAUAGCCUCUUGCCUAUGCAGUCGGAGAGAUUGAGGUCUGCAGCGUAGAUCCUUCGGGGCUAAAUGCAUUUGUGCUAAGUUAUAGCAUUUUAUAGACAACUUGUUGACUAUGAUUUGUCUUGUAGCUUACUCGCUUAUGUUAUUUUACCUACGCUUAGGAUGUUGAGCGCAUGUCUCUCUCU